rnacentral:lncRNA from 1 species
UGUGUCUACUUUUGAUUUUAGUCCCGCAAUUUUGUGUGACGCAAUUUAAUAGGCCCCUUCACGAAUAUAAAUAACUGAUGUAACAUUGCAUACAAAUUUAAUAAAAAGUAGAAUUUGUCACUAAACGGUUAGUUUGGUUUUAUUGAAUAGGAGUAGAUUUUCAUGAUGGAGGUAAAAAUGUUCUGAAAAAAACGAGAAAGCAUCAUUAAAUAAAGCUCCUGGAAACAUGCAUUGGAUUCCUGUACUGACGGUACUGUCAUACUAUUUUCAUCUCUUUCAAAAUAAUCUGUCCCCUUUAUAAUAUGGCCGAACUAACCUUGAAGUUGCCUAUCUUUCUUUUAUCAAUUGUGUAUGUAAUGUUUUCAAAACAAUUGAUUGACUAAAACAAGUUAAUUUUUUCAGAUUUGUUUUUCUCUCCACAGAUUGUCUUGUUCAUAAUAUUAACUUUUACUUUAAAACAUAGGUCAGAACAGCUGUUUCGCAUUCGUACCGUUUGUUAAUAUAGUUUGGUGUUUGAAUACGUCCGAUUUUAUGGACUUCCCCCUUUUUGAAUUUAUCUUGGAGAUUGAGGUUAAUACUUUUUUAAAUUAUUCCGUUGGGCUAAUUUAAGAUUCAGAAAAAUAUCAAAAAUGAAAUCAAUUUAAAAAAAAAAAUCAUGUAUAUUAAAAACGUAAAAAAAACCGUGUAAAAUACAAAACAUUGAAAUACCAAAC